GGGCCCUUAGCUCAGUUGGUAGAGCAACUGACUUUUAAUCAGUGGGUCGCAGGUUCGAUUCCUGCAGGGCUCA
rfam:Alpha proteobacterium IMCC14465 IMCC14465_2, whole genome shotgun sequence.